rfam:Myotis davidii contig186066, whole genome shotgun sequence.
GACCCUGAAGGAGAGAGCCCACGUAAAUUGAUGCCUGCAGAUUGAAUUUCCAGAGUCUUAGGAGGAGGAAGUUCUCCG